AUGCACACCCUGUCUCAGAAUACCCUCCUGGAGGCCCGGGAAAGGCCCCAGGUCCCAACAGGGCUGCAUGUUCCUGUUUGGACCAUUUGUGGGAGCAAUGAGAGCACCGUGGCUUUCCAGUGUCUGUCAUGUUUAGAGGACAAAAGGGCUGUGAACAAGAAGAUGCUUCCUGCCUCAUCUCCCGGCUCUGCCCUGGAAGCUCCUUGCUUCAGGCUCAGCCCCCAGAGCCUCCGCGCUGUGGACAGCAGUGCAUCUCCAGUCGAAGUCUUCACCCGUUGCGCCUUUGAGAGCAGAGAGAGAAGAUUCUCCGAGGAAUGUGGAAACUUUCCUUUCGCUGCUGCGGCCGCAGCCAUGAGUAUGCUCAGGCUUCAGAAGACUCGCCUCUAGUGUCCUCCGCUGUGGCGAGAAGAAGGUCUGGUUAGACCCCAAUGAGACCAAUGAAAUCGCCAAUGCCAACUCCCGUCAGCAGAUCCAAAAGCUGAUCAAAGAUGGGCUGAUCAUCCGCAAGCCUGUGACAGUCCAUUCCCGGGCGCGAUGCCGGAAAAAUACCUUGGCCCGCCGCAAGGGCAGGCACAUGGGCAUAGGUAAGCGGAAGGGUACAGCCAAUGCCCGAAUGCCAGAGAAGGUCACGUGGAUGAGGAGAAUGAGCAUUCUGCGCCGGCUGCUCAGAAGAUACCGUGAGUCUAAGAAGAUUGAUUGCCACAUGUAUCACAGCCUGUACCUGAAGGUGAAGGGGAAUGUGUUCAAAAACAAGCGUAUUCUCAUGGAACACAUCCACAAGCUGAAGGCAGACAAGGCCCGCAAGAAGCUCCUGGCUGACCAGGCUGAGGCCCGCAGGUCUAAGACCAAGGAAGCACGCAAGUGCCGUGAAGAGCGCCUCCAGGCCAAGAAGGAGGAGAUCAUCAAGACUUUGUCCAAGGAGGAAGAGACCAAGAAAUAAAAGCUCCCCCUUUGUCUGUACAUACUGGCCUCUGUGAUUACAUAGAUCAGCCAUUAAAAUAAAACAAGCCUUUAUCUG